rnacentral:rRNA from 1 species
GCGAGGAAUCUUGCGCAAUGGGCGAAAGCCUGACGCAGCAACGCCGCGUGGGGGAAGAAGGCCUUCGGGUUGUAAACCCCUUUUGCUGGGGACGAAGAAUGACGGUACCCAGCGAAUAAGCCUCGGCUAACUACGUGCCAGCAGCCGCGGUAAUACGUAGGAGGCGAGCGUUGUCCGGAUUUACUGGGCGUAAAGAGCGCGCGGGCGGCUUGUCAAGUCUUCAGUGAAAUCUCCCGGCUCAACCGGGAGGCUGCCGAGGAAACUGGCAGGCUUGAGGGCAGCAGAGGGAAGCGGAAUUCCCGGUGGAGCGGUGAAAUGCGUAGAUAUCGGGAGGAACACCAGUGGCGAAAGCGGCUUCCUGGGCUGCCCCUGACGCUGAGGCGCGAAAGCGUGGGGAGCGAACCGGAUUAGAAACCCUAGUAGUCC